GUUUUGCGUUUUUUAGUUAAAAUCGAAAAGAAAAAUAAAUAAAUAGACUAAAAGUUAUUUAAAUUUUUGUUUUAUAUUUACGUUAACGAUAAUGAAAUAUUUCAUUUGUUUGUAAAAUCGGUCCAUGCCUGUUACUUAUGCUCGUGUAUGUCAUAGUAUGUGUUAAAGCUUUCGUGUUAUUAGCGCUUUUAUAGCAUGAUGCGCAUGGCGCUUACAUACUUUUUGGCGGAUUACAGUCGCGCUGCAAUUUUGUCGCCAUGCAUGAAAAUCGCCAUGCCGAAUUAGUUGGCGCGAUUUGGAAUAAUAGUUAGCAAUUUCAAUACAUAGUGGGACUUUUGAAAAGCGGCACAGUUUCGAGGCGCAAGUAAUAUUCUGACUCGGUCAUUUCGCUACGAGUACGGCUGGCAAGCAGAAGUGCGCGAGUUGAGUCUAAUCCAAUCUAAAGUUUCAGUUGAGUUGAGUUUGAGAUUACUUUGAGUUGAAGUCGAUUAAGUUAAUUACGGUGUAAAUUGAAUUUCUAGUAGAAGUGGACCGAGGUCCGAUAUUUCGCGGUUUCUGCUGAUUUUUAUUGCAUUACGGAACUAACUACGAAAAAAGCGCCCAGCGCUUUUUUCGUACGGCUGGUUUUUGUGAGUUUCAUUCGGCAAUCGUCAUCGCCGAAUCGGGGAACUUCUGGUGGAGUGUACCGCCAUUUCCGUUUGGAUCAACGCGACCCGUGUGCCCAGCGAAGGCCCGCCUCCAGUAGGCAGUUAAACGGAGGCGUGAGUGAAGUCGCUCGUCCAUUAUCGUAGCGAGGUUCUCCCGUCGGUCGCCAAAAGCCGAAGGUAAGGUCCCGUCCGUCAAUCCCCGUGGACCGGAGUACGAGAGGCGAUUCGCUGAAGCGUGUCGUCAAUAGCACGCCACGAAUCCGAUCCAAUUCCGGAAAGUAGGAAACGUACUAUUCCCCGCUCGGUCAUAGCUGGAAUCUAAGUACGCGAAGCCGGGUCGCUGGGCUCUUUAGUGCCUUCCUAUUGACCGGAGGAGGAUCCUCCCGGGUACAAGCGGUUUCCGCCGUUUCCCUCUCGAGUAGACAACCGGAAGCUUCCAACCAGCCGCCACUCCCUCCGCACCGGUAAUUCGGCCAUACCGCACACGGGUCCUUCGUCAUCGCUGCGCGCCAAAUCGCAGCACGGUCACGCCGGCGAACACCAUUUCUGACCGCCAUCUCCGAACGUCGAAGUCGUCGCCAUCUUCGAGCUACGUCCCCCGUCACCGAGCAUCGUAUCGUCGAAAAACCUGCGCAGGUACGUGAAGAGCUUUUUUGUACAUGGCCAUGUUUGCUCUUUCCCAUCCCGUAUGAAUAUCUUCCGUCCAACACGAAUGAAUUCCUAGAAUAAAUAGUAGAAAGUUUGAAAUUUCGUUUAGUUCCGUUACGUUUCACAUCGCUUAAUUGAAUAAACAUACUCACUACCUUCCGUUACGUUUUAGUUCCGUUACUUCGCUCGGAUGAGUAAGAAUCCCUUCGGUUUUCCCUAAGUAUCUUUUAGCCUGUGAAAGAGUUGGAGUUAAAUUUGCGUUCGAAGAAAUUCUGCCGUUUACCAAGAACCGUUCAAAACCGUCCCUGAGUGAAAUAGUCUCUUGCAAAGUCGGGCAAAUUUCAACACGACCGGUGGUCUCUCUUUGAGAGUGGCGCUUAAGCCACCGUGCUUUAACCAAAUCCUCAAGAAUAGUUUACGAACGGUUACAA